rnacentral:rRNA from 1 species
GCUCAGGAUGAACGUUGGCGGCGUGCCUAACACAUGCAAGUCGAACGCAACUAGCAAUAUUUGAGUGGCGCACGGGUGAGUAACACGUAGCUUACCUCCACCAAAGAGUGGGAUAACGGUUCGAACGAGUUGCUAAUACCGCAUAAGCUCCAGGUCUAUAGAGGACUGAGAGAACAGGGUUUACUCGCUUGGGCAGGAUGCUGCGGCCAAUCAGCUAGAUGGUGAGGUAACGGCUUACCAUGGCAACCAGGAUUAGGGGACCUGAGAGGGUGACCACCAACACUGGGACUGAGACACGGCCAAGACUCCUACGGGAGGCAGCAGUGAGGAAUAUUGCACAAUGGGCGCAAGCCUGAUGCAGCGACGCCGCGUGAGUGAAGAAGGCCUUCGGGUCGUAACGCUCUUUUCUGCGUGACGAGGAAGGACGGUAGCGCAGGAAUAAGUCUCGGCUAACUACGUGCCAGCAGCCGCGGUAACACGUAGGAGACAACCGUUAUCCGGAGUUACUGGGCGUAACGGGCGUGCAGGCGGUUGACUAAGUCUGGCGUGAACGCUCUCGGCUAACCAGGGAGAGGUCGUUGGAUACUGGUUGACUAGAGGACGGUAGAGGCGUGUGGAAUUCCGGGUGUAGUGGUGAACUGCGUAGAGAUCCGGAGGAACACCAGUGGCGAAGGCGACACGCUGGGCCGUACCUGACGCUAAUACGCGACAGCAUGGGGAGUAACCGGGAUUAGAACCACCGGUAGUCCAUGCCGUAACCGAUGCCAGCUAGGUGUUCAGGG